rnacentral:rRNA from 1 species
GACGAACGCUGGCGGCGUGCCUAAUACAUGCAAGUUGAGCGCUGAAGGUUGGUACUUGUACCAACUGGAUGAGCAGCGAACGGGUGAGUAACGCGUGGGGAAUCUGCCUUUGAGCGGGGGACAACAUUUGGAAACGAAUGCUAAUACCGCAUAAAAACUUUAAACACAAGUUUUAAGUUUGAAAGAUGCAAUUGCAUCACUCAAAGAUGAUCCCGCGUUGUAUUAGCUAGUUGGUGAGGUAAAGGCUCACCAAGGCGAUGAUACAUAGCCGACCUGAGAGGGUGUUCGCCCACUUGGGAACUGGACAACGGCCCAACUCCUACGGGAGGCAGCAGUAGGGAAUCUUCGGCAAUGGACGAAAGUCUGACCGAGCAACGCCGCGUGAGUGAAGAAGGUUUUCGGAUCGUAAAACUCUGUUGGUAGAGAAGAACGUUGGUGAGAGUGGAAAGCUCAUCAAGUGACGGUAACUACCCAGAAAGGGACGGCUAACUACGUG